UACGGAGGGUGCAAGCGUUGUUCGGAAUCACUGGGCGUAAAGGGCGUGUAGGCGGUCCGCUAAGUCUGAUGUGAAAGCCCGGGGCUCACCCCCGGAAGUGCAUUGGAAACUGGCGGACUCGAGUCCCGGAGAGGAGGGUGGAAUUCCUGGUGUAGCGGUGAAAUGCGUAGAUAUCAGGAGGAACACCGGUGGCGAAGGCGGCCCUCUGGACGGUGUCUGACGCUGAGACGCGAAAGCGUGGGGAGCAAACAGG
rnacentral:rRNA from 1 species